GACGAACGCUGGCGGUGUGCCUAAUACAUGCAAGUCGAACGACAGCAUCCUGUGCUUGCUCUGGUCAUUCUAGCGGCUAACGUGUGAGUUACACGUGGUUAACCUUCUCCUCAUUUGGGGUUAACAUCCGGCAACGGCUGCUCAAACCGCAUUCGUCUAUGUACCGCAUGGUUUACGGAGGCAUAGAGGCCUCCACUUCUGCUCUUGGCUGGACCCGCGUUGCAUUUCCUAGUUGGUGAGGCAACGGCCUACCAAGGCCAGGAUGCAUAGCCGACCGGAGAGGGUGAUCGGACACAUUGGGACUGAGACACGGCCCAAACUCCUACGGGAGGCAGCAGGAGGGAAUCUUCCACAAUGGACGAAAGUCUGACGGAGCAACGCCGCGUGAGUGAAGAAGGUAUUCGGAUCGUAAAACGCUGUUGUUAGUGAAGAACAAGUGCGGGAGUAACGGUUAACGGCUUGACGGGAUCUAAGCAGAAAGCCACGGCUAACUACGUG
rnacentral:rRNA from 1 species